UUCAUGUCUUUUGUAUUAAAGAAUUAAAUGGAUGAAAUAUGAAGUUUUAUUAAAGAAAAAGGGGUGAAAAGAACAAAGUUUUGUCCAUCUUUGUUCAUCAUAGCUGAAAGUUAGAGAAGAGAAAGGAGAGGAGAAAGCUCUUGAGUAUUUGGUCAUUAGGAGGAGGAAAAUUGAAGGCGGUUCGUGUGUGGAUCUCGUCAACAUAUCGUCGCAAACAGGUGUGUAACUAACACCCUCUUUCUUAGUCUGGAUCGGCAAAAGUCGAAAAGUCGAAAUGCCGAAAACCGGUAUUUUGUAGAUUUGCGAGUGUGCGAAUGUUCGUGAGGAAAUCCCCAACCAUAGUGGGCU